GGGGGAGCUCUUUUUUGUGGAAGGAGAUGUGUUUCCACUUUUUUGAUGUGAUGGCCUAGAUUAGUUUGGUCAUGGGUGAUGGUUGAAUGAUUGACAUGAUCCGAGAUCAGUGGGUGGCUGACAUUUCACUUUUUCGAUGGCCGACCUUCAUCAGCUUAGAGGUGGGUGAAGCCCUCAUGGUCAAUGAUUUGUUUUAGUCUAGGGGAGGAGUUGGAAUGAGC
rnacentral:lncRNA from 1 species